CUAGUGUCCAUAGAUACAGAAAACAAAACCAGUCUGGUCACAGAACUAAUAAACUCUGGCCUUGGAUCCAGCGUGAUCCGAUUUUGGAUUGGCCUUAGUGACCGGGAGACGGAAGGGACCUUUAAGUGGGUCACUGGGCAUCCUCUGGUAUAUUCUAACUGGAACCCUGGUCAACCCAACGAUUACUACAACAAAUGUGUGACGAAUUCGUCCGACGCGGACUGCGCCAUCACAAGAACAGAUGGCAGAUGGGCUGAUGACUGCUGUGAAACCCCUCAUGGAUUUAUCUGUGAAAUCAUUUGAAGACAUUCUACAAACUAUACACAAUUAAGUAAACACAACUCUUUGGAGA